UCGCUCGCCUUUGAUAACACUGGUCUAGAUGAUAAAAAAAAAAAAAAAAAUUGAAAAGAAACUCAGCAGAGCUUGCAAUCUUUAGAACAAGAAGGAAUACAAUCCAAAUGAAUCUAACAACUCAAAUGGCCAUCCAGAGAAACUCCAGCCCAGCAAUUUAAAAAUGCCGUUACAAUGAAAAUACUUCUGCCUGCCUAUUCUCUAUAAAGCAACACUUAUUUAUAGAUUCUGCCUAUAAUUUGCUCUGCUGUGGUAUAAACAACUCCAGCUCAUUUCCUAUUUUUCCGCGCUCUUCUAUCUUCAUCUCGAAUCUUCCACAUUCUUCUGUCUUAGCUACCACUUGUCUUUCAUCUUUUCUAAAUUUCUUCCUUGAGUAAACUUGUAAGGGCUUAGGCUUGCUAUCAACCAGGCUCAUAUUAGGAUCCAUAACAUUGCCGUCUGCAGGAAGAACAACCUUGUCCUCAAGGCUGAAAGAAGGAAAUUGAUUUCGAAUAUCCACUGGAUCCAUCCAUGUAGCUUCCUCAACUGGCUUAUCCCUCCUUUGAAUUAAAACUUGUGUGACAAUCCCAUUUUCACUCUGCUUUUGACGCCAUUUGAGGACUUUGAGUGGUUCUAUAUUCGAAUCAUCUAACUCCAUUUCUCUUGGUAAUUUAGUGACAACAGGAUGUUUACCAUUUGUUUUCUUUAAUUAAGACACAUGAAAAACAGGAUGGAUCUUUGAGUCACUAGGUAACAAUAACUUAUAAGCCACAACUCCCAUUUUCUCAAUAAUGGUAAAAAGACCAAAAUAAUGAGUAGGUAACCUAGGCACCGCCCGAUAUUGGAGAGAAACAGAGCGAUGGGGACGAAAUUUGAGAAAGACAGAAUUACCUGUCUGAAACUGCACAUCCCGCCUAUGAAUGUUAGCUACUUUCACCAUGCGUUGUUAGGCUUGGGAUAAAUUAUAUUUCAGCCAACGUAGAAUUUCAUCUCUAUUGAGCAAUGUUUGAGCCACAGCUUGUAUUUUAGUUUCUCCUAGCAGAAAUUUAGUUAGAGAUGAAGGAGGCCGGCCAUAUAUUUCUUCGAAAUGAAUCAUACGAGUAGCAGAAUGAUGACUCAUAUUGUAACAAAUUCUGCCUAAGAUAACCAUCGACUCCAUUGUUUAGGCUAUUCUAAGUUUUAAGGCAGCGAUUAAGCACCUCCUUUUGGCCAUCCGUCUCGGUGUGAUAAGCAGUGCUCAUCUUCACCUUGGUGCCUUGCAAUCUAAAUAAUUCUUGCUAGAAAUUACAGGGGAACAAAGGAUCCCGAUUGCUCACUAUUGACUUUGAAACUCCAUGAAGGCGGAUAACUUCUUUAAAAAUAAUUUUGCAACUCCUCUAGCAGUGAAUGGGUGCUUUAAGCCCAAAAAAUGCGCAUUAGAUAAACGAUCUACUACGACCAAUAUACAAUCAAUGCCAUUUGACUUAGGUAGUUUCGUCACAAAUUUCAUAAAGAUGUCCUUCCAGAUUGCUGAAGGAAUAGGCAAUGGUUGAAGAAGUCUUACUGGACUUGUUGUAUGAUACUUGUUUUUCAGGCAAAUUAAAUAGUUUGCUACAAAUUCUUGCACCUGUUUCAUCAUUCCCUUCCAGUAGAGUGAAAUAACUAGCCGUCGGUAGGUUCUAUAAGCUCUCGUAUAGCCUCCCAUUGGUGAGGUAUGGAAUUCUUCCAACAGAACAAGGAUGGCCAACGAAUGUGCAGGUAGCUCCAGUCUUUCUCGAUAGAACAACCGCUGCUGUAUAAGUUGGUAUUGGGGAUGGGAAGCUGGAUUAACCUGACAUUCUGAAAUAAGCUAUUGUAAGGAGGAAUCUUGCUUUAACUCUUCAUCUAACUUAGCCAUGUCCACCCACACUUUCGUAGACAAAACUUGGCCGUCCAUUUCAUCGCAACGCGAGGGAGCAUCUGCUACCUUAUUGGUGAUGCUCGGCUUAUAGAAAAUUUGAAAGUCAUAGCCCAACAAUUUAGGAAGCCAAUUUUGUUGAGCCUGAGUGGUGACUAGUUGUUGAAGCAAGUGACGCAAACUCUUCUAAUCCUUAUGAACAAUAAAUUUCCUUCUCAUCAAAUAACAUCUCCAAUGGUGAAUUGCUAGGACAAAUGCCAUCAUUUUUUUCUCAUAUGUGGACUUACUCAGAGCAGUGGCAAAUAAUGCUUUGCUAAAAUAAGCAAUU
rnacentral:misc_RNA from 1 species